AAACACCCCAUCCUCUCUUCUCUUUUUCCUGCUUUACUUCAUCUGAUUUCAUUCUCAAACAGAUUUACUCAAAGAUGACUGCAGAGGAAUGUUCUCAGAGGGCUCUAAAUAGGUUGGCUUUGGAUCUGCCCUCUUAAAACUAAACAUUACCACAGAGGAAUGAAGUAUUCUGAUCACCCAGUUUGGGAGCUAGAGAGAAUGGGGGUAGCUACGUUCAAACCAUUUGGAUGAGGCAGGACUCGCCUGAAAUGGGGUAAGUGUAGCCCUCCUAAGAAAGAAGCACUGUGCGGAUGAACAUCAUGAACACCAUCCAAGUUUCAACAUGUCUGAGAUUAAAUCUGCAGCAAAAGUUUACUCCAUUUCUGGGUGUGUAAAGCAGCUAAAACUUCCUACCAUGCGUCCGCUAUCCAUGGAAAUCCGGAACAAAAGCUUAAGAUCCAAGAAAAUAAAAUGUGUUUUGAAGAAAAAUAUGCUCUUGCAACAUAAAGAAGCUGUCUUCAGUUACAAAUAGAUAUAAAAUGUGAAGAUAUAUAAUUGCUGCAUAAAUUUAUUAAUAGAAGUGCUAAUGCCAUAAAUCGUACAUCUCCAUUUUGACACGCAAUCCUUUAUUUUCCUUUCACUGAGGAAGAAAAAUAAAGGAGCGGAACUGGUAAUAUUGCUUGCAACUAAAUUGGAUUUUCCACCAGAGAAAGCUGUUUAGAAAAAGCUAUUCUAAAAAAGCAAAAUAGUACUCACAAAAGGGUAUUAAUGAAUCCAACCAGGAGGAAAAAGCCUCCAACAAUACAAAGCUUUCCAAAACCUCUUUCAGGACUGAAAGCCAAAAGGAUGCUUUGAACUCUCUGUCUUUGCAGAAACCAUCUCACCUACAAACCGAGUAUGAGAUAGAGUUCAAAUUUUAGAAUAAGAACUCUUAAUUCAAACUACAAGUCUUAACUGACGAUUCAAGAGGAGAGACUGCAGCAGCUCUGGGUUUCGAAGGAAACCGAUACAUCCUGCCCUCAAACUGUGAGGCACUAUAGGAGCAAGAUGUAAAGGAUGCAGUGCCUUUGCGCUCCCACCUCCGCCACCGUGGGUGUCAUAAUACAGAGGUGAAAGUUCAACAUGCGACAGAACUGCCCAUCUCUCAUAUCCAUGUGGGCCUGGUUGGGUGGUCAAUUGCAACUCUUCCCUCAAGCAGCCAGAGAGAGGGUCAGAAGCAAGGCUGGGCCAUCAAAUACCCCAAUACUCAGCACAGUGAUUGAUCCAGGAAUGGGCUCCUGAAUCCAGCAGUCUCCUGGGUUUUUUUUCUGACAUUCAUUUACUGCUAAUAAAGAAUACCACGUUGACUCCA
rnacentral:lncRNA from 10 species